GGCACUAUGGCCGAGUGGUUAAGGCGGUAGACUCGAAUACCCACUUGUUCUAUCCAAGUGGCCCGUGAUCUACUUUCUUCGGAAGCGCAGGUUCAAAUCCUGCUGGUGUCG